UCCUUUCUCCUACACUCCCUGACCAGUCCGGCCUCCCCCGGACUCCCUCUAUGAACGCUGCCCCACGCCUUGACCAAGACACCGCACGACGGAGCUCCUCACCGCCUUUGCCCCACGCUUGUUCAUCCUCCACCGGCGUGGCCUCCUCCACACUACCGCACCUCGCGCGCUCGCCUUGGUAGCAGCUUAAUCCGACCUCUGUGCAGCCGCCGCCAUGGAUGCUUCCCCAGGGCGAUGUCCAAUGCCGAUUCUGAGGCCCCUUGCAUCACAUGAUGACAUCAGUUUCUGGAGGAGUUUCUGCAGGAGAAAUAGCAACUUGGGCCUGUCCUAUAGCUAAUGCUAUCUAUCUGAGGCAGGAUGUUGAAUCAAGGCAACAUGAGCAAGCAUCCCUGCGUGGAGCCAUCAAGUUGCAUCUUCUGCACUCAUCUCUAUCAAGGUGUUCAUCUGAUUGGUGGUAUGAAGGAAUGUGGUGCAGGCUAGGAGGAUAAGGUUGGUAGCCAUAAUUGAUGAUCUCUUGCAAGCAUGUCGGGCAAAAAUAAGUAAGCCACCAAACCUGAAUCAGGAUUGGAACUGGAGUGUUAUGAUGGGUUUCUUAGAUGUAAGCCUGACCUACAGUCCUUCUCAUGUUCACUCCAUUUUACUGAUUCCAUAUUCAAACGUCCUGGCUUGGGGAUGGGGCACAUACAUGUCCUCCUCUAAACCCUUAUUCCUAUGUUUUCUGGUGAAUUCUGUGGCAUUUGUUGUGAUUAGAGAUGGUAUUCUUGGUCAUGGAAGGCGGAAAUACCCAAUGAAGGAAAUGUCUUUUCUUAAUUGAGUU